AUUUCAUGCAUUCCCUAGUACGGCGAGUGAAGAGGGAAAAGCUCAAAGUUGGAACCUGGCUGCCCUAGGCAGUCCGGAUUGUAAACUAAAGAGCGUGAUUCCAGGCAAGCCGGUUGACCAAGUCCUUUGGAAUGAGGCGCCACUGAGGGUGAGAGCCCCGUAAGUCGACUGAGCAUUUGUCUUUUGUGCUUCGCGUUCAAAGAGUCAGGUUGUUUGGGAAUGCAGCCUAAAGCUGGUGGUAAAUCCCACCUAAAGCUAAAUACAGGCGAGAGACCGAUAGCGAACAAGUACCGUGAGGGAAAGAUGAAAAGAACUUUGAAAAGAGAGUUAAACAGUAUGUGAAAUUGCCAAGAGGGAAGCAUUUGGAGUUAGAUUGACUAGGAGUUAAUCAGCUUGGUCUUUGGACUGGGUGUACUUGACUUCUUACAGUCUGCCAAUAGCAGUUAGUCCUAGUGGAAAAAACCAGAGGGAAGGUAGUCCUUCGGGAUGUUUAUAGACCUUUGGAAAAUACACUGGGAUUGACUGAGGAAUGCAGUAGAUGCCACUAAGGCUUCGUCUAGUGGGUGCUAGGCAAAGGUACUUGGUAUUUUCAGCUUGCUGAUGUGCUAGGUUACUCGAGUCUAGUCGCCUACUAGAACUGUAAUCUACUUUGGUUAUUGGCUUAAUGACUCUAAUGGCCCGUCUUGAACACCGGACCAAAAG
rnacentral:rRNA from 1 species